rnacentral:misc_RNA from 1 species
UGCGUCAUGACUUGUAUCGUCUUGAGCGUAUUGUGGGUUUCCUGUGUUGCAUACCUUUCUAAUGGUAUCGAUUUGAUUGAUCGAAGUCCCUUUUCAUCUUGUGUUGCCUUUGUGAUGCAUGAUGAACCUUGAGGCGGUCUCUAUGUUCCACAACGUUGAUGCUAGUGUUUUGAUGUUGUGGCCCAUUGAGCGUUGCCUGGUUUCGUGGAUACAGAACAUGAUUUGGGCAUAGGGUUACUUGUGACUCUUGUUUUGUCCUUUAUCRGUGUUCUUUAUAACGACGGUUCAUGCGCGCCUAGGCUCGUACCUGCGCGAUGUUCUUUGUCGAAGAGGAAUGCUACCUGGUUGAUCCUGCCAGUAG